UGGGGAAUAUUGCACAAUGGGCGCAAGCCUGAUGCAGCCAUGCCGCGUGUAUGAAGAAGGCCUUCGGGUUGUAAAGUACUUUCAGCGGGGAUGAAGGGAGUAAAGUUAAUACCUUUGCUCAUUGACGUUACCCGCAGAAGAAGCACCGGCUAACUCCGUGCCAGCAGCCGCGGUAAUACGGAGGGUGUAAGCGUUAAUCGGAAUUACUGGGCGUAAAGCGCACGCAGGCGGUUUGUUAAGUCAGAUGUGAAAUCCCCGGGCUCAACCUGGGAACUGCAUCUGAUACUGGCAAGCUUGAGUCUCGUAGAGGGGGGUAGAAUUCCAGGUGUAGCGGUGAAAUGCGUAGAGAUCUGGAGGAAUACCGGUGGCGAAGGCGGCCCCCUGGACGAAGACUGACGCUCAGGUGCGAAAGCGUGGGGAGCAAACA
rnacentral:rRNA from 1 species